AUUGAACGCUGGCGGCAUGCCUUACACAUGCAAGUCGAACGGCAGCACGGGUGCUUGCACCUGAUGGCGAGUGGCGAACGGGUGAGUAAUACAUCGGAACGUACCUUAUCGUGGGGGAUAACGCAGCGAAAGCUGUGCUAAUACCGCAUACGCCCUGAGGGGGAAAGCGGGGGAUCGAAAGACCUCGCGCGAUUAGAGCGGCCGAUGCCUGAUUAGCUUGUUGGUGGGGUAAAAGCCCACCAAGGCGACGAUCAGUAGCUGGUCUGAGAGGACGAUCAGCCACACUGGGACUGAGACACGGCCCAGAGUCCUACGGGAGGCAGCAGUGGGGAAUUUUGGACAAUGGGGGCAACCCUGAUCCAGCAAUGCCGCGUGAGUGAAGAAGGCCUUCGGGUUGUAAAGCUCUUUUGUCAGGGAAGAGACACCGGCUCUAACACAGUCCGGGAAUGACGGUACCUGAAGAAUAAGCACCGGCUAACUACGUGCCAGCAGCCGCCGUAA
rnacentral:rRNA from 1 species